rnacentral:hammerhead_ribozyme from 1 species
GCACUGCUGAGGAGUCCCACAACAGGACGAAACGGCCGUUUAGUGC